rnacentral:rRNA from 1 species
GUGCCAGCCGCCGCGGUAAGACAGAGGUGGCAAGCGUUGUUCGGAAUUACUGGGCUUAAAGGGCGCGUAGGUGGUGAUAUAAGUCCGGGGUGGAAGGCUGAGGCUUAACCUUGGAAUUGCCCUGGAAACUGUAUCACUUGAGUCAGCGAGGGGAUGGCGGAAUUCCUGGUGUAGCGGUGAAAUGCGUAGAUAUCAGGAGGAAGGCCGGUGGCGAAGGCGGCCAUCUGGCGCUGAACUGACACUGAGGCGCGAAAGCGUGGGGAGCAAACAGGAUUAGAAACCCUUGUAGUCC